rnacentral:rRNA from 1 species
GGGGAAUCUUGCGCAAUGGGCGAAAGCCUGACGCAGCGACGCCGCGUGGGCGAAGAAGGCCUUCGGGUUGUAAAGCCCUGUGGGGGAGAACGAACCGUACGGGGGCGAAUACCCUCCGUGCCUGACGGUACUCCUUUAGCAAGCAUCGGCUAACUCUGUGCCAGCAGCCGCGGUAAGACAGAGGAUGCAAACGUUGCUCGGAAUUACUGGGCGUAAAGCGCGUGUAGGCGGCUUGGUAAGUCGGACGUGAGAUCCCGGGGCUCAACCCCGGAAGGGCGCUCGAUACUGCCGAACUUGGGUCCUGAAGAGGAGAGCGGAAUUCCCGGUGUAGAGGUGAAAUUCGUAGAUAUCGGGAGGAACACCAGUGGCGAAGGCGGCUCUCUGGGCAGGUACCGACGCUGAGACGCGAAAGCGUGGGAAGCAAAC